rnacentral:rRNA from 2 species
CGAACGAGUUCUGAUUAUUGAAAGGUGCUUGCAUCUUGAUUUAAUUUUGAACGAGUGGCGGACGGGUGAGUAACACGUGGGUAACCUGCCCUUAAGUGGGGGAUAACAUUUGGAAACAGAUGCUAAUACCGCAUAAAUCCAAGAACCGCAUGGUUCUUGGCUGAAAGAUGGCGUAAGCUAUCGCUUUUGGAUGGACCCGCGGCGUAUUAGCUAGUUGGUGAGGUAACGGCUCACCAAGGCAAUGAUACGUAGCCGAACUGAGAGGUUGAUCGGCCACAUUGGGACUGAGACACGGCCCAAACUCCUACGGGAGGCAGCAGUAGGGAAUCUUCCACAAUGGACGCAAGUCUGAUGGAGCAACGCCGCGUGAGUGAAGAAGGCUUUCGGGUCGUAAAACUCUGUUGUUGGAGAAGAAUGGUCGGCAGAGUAACUGUUGUCGGCGUGACGGUAUCCAACCAGAAAGCCACGGCUAACUACGUGCCAGCAGCCGCGGUAAUACGUAGGUGGCAAGCGUUAUCCGGAUUUAUUGGGCGUAAAGCGAGCGCAGGCGGUUUUUUAAGUCUGAUGUGAAAGCCCUCGGCUUAACCGAGGAAGUGCAUCGGAAACUGGGAAACUUGAGUGCAGAAGAGGACAGUGGAACUCCAUGUGUAGCGGUGAAAUGCGUAGAUAUAUGGAAGAACACCAGUGGCGAAGGCGGCUGUCUGGUCUGUAACUGACGCUGAGGCUCGAAAGCAUGGGUAGCGAACAGGAUUAGAUACCCUGGUAGUCCAUGCCGUAAACGAUGAAUGCUAGGUGUUGGAGGGUUUCCGCCCUUCAGUGCCGCAGCUAACGCAUUAAGCAUUCCGCCUGGGGAGUACGACCGCAAGGUUGAAACUCAAAGGAAUUGACGGGGGCCCGCACAAGCGGUGGAGCAUGUGGUUUAAUUCGAAGCAACGCGAAGAACCUUACCAGGUCUUGACAUCUUUUGAUCACCUGAGAGAUCAGGUUUCCCCUUCGGGGGCAAAAUGACAGGUGGUGCAUGGUUGUCGUCAGCUCGUGUCGUGAGAUGUUGGGUUAAGUCCCGCAACGAGCGCAACCCUUAUGACUAGUUGCCAGCAUUUAGUUGGGCACUCUAGUAAGACUGCCGGUGACAAACCGGAGGAAGGUGGGGAUGACGUCAAAUCAUCAUGCCCCUUAUGACCUGGGCUACACACGUGCUACAAUGGAUGGUACAACGAGUUGCGAGACCGCGAGGUCAAGCUAAUCUCUUAAAGCCAUUCUCAGUUCGGACUGUAGGCUGCAACUCGCCUACACGAAGUCGGAAUCGCUAGUAAUCGCGGAUCAGCACGCCGCGGUGAAUACGUUCCCGGGCCUUGUACACACCGCCCGUCACACCAUGAGAGUUUGUAACACCCGAAGCCGGUGGCGUAACCC